ACGAACGCUGGCGGCGUGCUUAACACAUGCAAGUCGAACGGUGAAGCGCCUUCCUUUUUGGUGGGUGUGGAUGAGUGGCGAACGGGUGAGUAACACGUGAGUAACCUGCCCCCUUCUUCUGGAUAACCGCAUGAAAGUGUGGCUAAUACGGGAUAUUCUGGGUCUGUCGCAUGAUGGGUCUGGGAAAGAUAUUGUUUCGGUGGGGGAUGGGCUCGCGGCCUAUCAGCUUAUUGGUGGGGUGAUGGCCUACCAAGGCGGUGACGGGUAGCCGGCCUGAGAGGGUGGACGGUCACACUGGGACUGAGACACGGCCCAGACUCCUACGGGAGGCAGCAGUGGGGAAUAUUGCACAAUGGGCGCAAGCCUGAUGCAGCGACGCCGCGUGAGGGAUGGAGGCCUUCGGGUUGUGAACCUCUUUCGCCAGUGAAGCAGGCCUGCCUCGUUUGUGGGUGGGUUGACGGUAGCUGGAUAAGAAGCGCCGGCUAACUACGUG
rnacentral:rRNA from 1 species